UGGGCUGCUAACAUUGGAGGCUUUUAUGCUU
rnacentral:piRNA from 1 species